AACGAACGCUGGCGGCAGGCCUAACACAUGCAAGUCGAACGCCCCGCAAGGGGAGUGGCAGACGGGUGAGUAACGCGUGGGAACAUACCCUUCGGUUCGGAAUAGCUCAGGGAAACUUGGAUUAAUACCGGAUACGUCCGUAAGGAGAAAGAUUUAUCGCCGAAGGAUUGGCCCGCGUCUGAUUAGCUUGUUGGUGAGGUAAUGGCUCACCAAGGCGACGAUCAGUAGCUGGUCUGAGAGGAUGACCAGCCACAUUGGGACUGAGACACGGCCCAAACUCCUACGGGAGGCAGCAGUGGGGAAUAUUGGACAAUGGGCGAAAGCCUGAUCCAGCCAUGCCGCGUGAGUGAUGAAGGCCUUAGGGUUGUAAAGCUCUUUUACCCGG
rnacentral:rRNA from 1 species